rnacentral:rRNA from 3 species
UGUUUCGGCUAGGGGGCCAUCCCGGCUUACCAACCCGAUGCAAACUGCGAAUACCGGAGAAUGUUAUCACGGGAGACACACGGCGGGUGCUAACGUCCGUCGUGAAGAGGGAAACAACCCAGACCGCCAGCUAAGGUCCCAAAGUCAUGGUUAAGUGGGAAACGAUGUGGGAAGGCCCAGACAGCCAGGAUGUUGGCUUAGAAGCAGCCAUCAUUUAAAGAAAGCGUAAUAGCUCACUGGUCGAGUCGGCCUGCGCGGAAGAUGUAACGGGGCUAAACCA